rnacentral:rRNA from 1 species
GACGAACGCUGGCGGCGUGCUUAACACAUGCAAGUCGAACGGAAAGGCCCUGCUUUUGUGGGGUGCUCGAGUGGCGAACGGGUGAGUAACACGUGAGUAACCUGCCCUUGACUUUGGGAUAACUUCAGGAAACUGGGGCUAAUACCGGAUAGGAGCUCCUGCUGCAUGGUGGGGGUUGGAAAGUUUGGGCGGUUGGGGUUGGACUCGCGGCUAAUGAGCUUGUUGGUGGGGGUGUGGCUUUCCCAGGCUUUGACGGGUAGCCGGCCUGGAAGGGUGACCGGCACCAUGGGACUGAGGGAGGGACCAGUGGUCAAUGGGGGGCAAGGGGGGGGAAACUUUUCCAACUGGACGGAGUCGGGGAAGAAGACCGCCGGGUGGGGAAGAACGGCUUUUGGGUUGGAAACGCAUUAGGCUAAUACCAAGCGUGAGUGACGGUAAUGAGUAAAGAAGCACCGGCUAACUACGUG